AAGAAGAUAGCUGAGAAGACCAACUAGUGUAAAGAGUGACAGGUUGGAGUAGCUGGACAUUUAGCCUCCGAAAUAUAUUUCCGUUAGAGCAGAACAACAACAGAACGGAAGAAGAGGAAGAAGAGAUAACGGGAAGUUCGCCUUAACGAGAACAGAUAAAGAAGAGCAGGGAACAGAUAGACAAGAUACUAAUGCUGUGCACAAGAAUGAAACAAAAUAACAUCUUUUGGGAGCCCAGGAAAUGGAU